rfam:Myotis davidii contig36060, whole genome shotgun sequence.
GGCGGUUCUCAGGUGACACACCCUGGAAUCGGGCUCCCCCUUCUCUGGUUCUGGGUGCGUCACCUGAGAACUGCA